AUGUCAUACUUCCAAGAAAAGCUCAUACAUCUUUAUAAUUUAAUGACCUGUACCUGAAACCGACACAGGUAGGUUGGUAGAGAAUACCAAGGGGCGCGAGAGAACUCUCUCUAAGGAACUCGGCAAACUGGCCCCGUAACUUCGGAAGAAGGGGCACCCAUCCGUAACAAGGUGGGUCGCAGUGACCAGGCCCAGGCGACUGUUUACCAAAAACACAGGUCUCCGCAAAGUCGUAAGACAAUAUAUGGGGGCUGACGCCUGCCCAGUGCCGGAAGGUUAAGGAAGUUGGUUAUUUCGUAAGAAAAAAGCUGACGACCGAAGCCCCGGUGAACGGCGGUCGUAACUAUAACGAUCCUAAGGUAGCGAAAUUCAUUGUCGAGUAAGUUUCGACCUGCACGAAAGGCGUAACGAUCUGGGCGCUGUCUCGGAGAGAGGCUCGGUGAAAUAGACUUGUCCCGUGAAGAUGCGGACUACCUACACCUGGACAGAAAGACCCUAUGAAGCUUGACUGUAUCUUGGAAUUGGGUUUGGGCUUUUCUUGCGCAGCCUAGGUGGGAGGCUAUGAAGAUUACCUUCCGGGGUAAUUAGAGCCGUCAUUGAGAGACCACUCUGGAAGAGCUAGAAUCCUAAUGGGGAUCCUUGAAUCAGGACCCUUGACAGUUUCAGGUGGGCAGUUUAUUUGGGGCGAAUGCCUCCUAAAAGGUAACGGAGGCGUGCAAAGGUUCCCUCAGUCUGGACGGAAAUCAGACAUUGAGUGUAAAGGCAAAAGGGAGCUUGACUGCAAGACCUACAAGUCGAGCAGGGGCGAAAGCCGGCCUUAGUGAUCCGACGGUGCCGCGUGGAAGGGCCGUCGCUCAACGGAUAAAAGUUACUCUAGGAAAACAGGCUGAUCUUCCCCCAGAGUUCACAUCGACGGGAAGGUUUGGCCCCUCGAUGUCGGCUCAUCACAUCCUCGGUCUGUAGUAGGUCCGAAGGGUUGGGCUGUUCGCCCAUUAAAGUGGUACGUGAGCUGGGUUCAAAA
rnacentral:rRNA from 1 species